rnacentral:rRNA from 1 species
UACGAAGGGGGCUAGCGUUGCUCGGAAUCACUGGGCGUAAAGCGCACGUAGGCGGCUUCUUAAGUCCGGGGUGAAAUCCUGGAGCUCAACUCCAGAACUGCCUUUGAUACUGAGAAGCUUGAGUCCGGGAGAGGUGAGUGGAACUGCGAGUGUAGAGGUGAAAUUCGUAGAUAUUCGCAAGAACACCAGUGGCGAAGGCGGCUCACUGGCCCGGUACUGACGCUGAGGUGCGAAAGCGUGGGGAGCAAACAGG